rnacentral:rRNA from 1 species
AUGCACCCACCUGGUGCUGCUGCUGACCCCUCCACCCUUCUGAAUGUUUUUGGUACUACUGGAAAAUUCAAAUGGGUGAGGAAGAACCGGCUGACGACGGGCAAGGGCAUGGGGUACCUGGAGGCCAAGCACCACCUGCUGCUGAGCUACUGCCAGGGCCUCGUCUACUACCUGCUACUCAAGGCCAAGGGGCUGUCUGUCGAUGGCCACCCUGUUGCGCGCAGCCUUGUCGAGAUCAGGCUGUUUCUUGAGAAGAUUCGCCCAAUAGACAAGAAGAUGGAGUACCAGAUCCAGAAGCUCACCAAUGCCGCAGAUGGUGCGGCAGCCCAGGAUAAGGCGCCAGGCGCCAAGGUCAAUGGGAAGGGCGGGCAACAAGGUGAAGUAUGA